rnacentral:rRNA from 1 species
UAUUGUUAUGGUACAAAAUUUUAACAUUUAAAAUGUAUUAUGGAAUUUACAGAUGCUCCAGCCAUUAAAUAUCAAUAUUUGUGAAAACAAGAUUGUGUUUUAAUAUUAACAACGAUAAAUAAAGUGCCAGCAAUCGCGGUCAUACUUUUGUUGUAAGAAAAUUAAUAAAGUAGAAAACAUCCUGUAAAUUAAUAUAAUAGUGAAAUAUAUUUUAAUUUAUAAUUACAUUAUUUAAAUUUUCAAAUAUUGGACUUAAACAAGGAUUAGAUACCCUUCUAUACAAUAUACACAUAACUCUACUGGGCACUACAACUCUAUGAGUUAAAACUUAAAUAACAUGGCGGUAAUACAAAUAUUUAGGGGAACUUACUUAAUAAUUGAUAAUCACCAAGUUACACAACUUUUAGUUACAUUUUGUAUGCCGUCGCCGUAGAUAAAAUAUAAUACAUUAUCAAAACUUUAAAAAGACAGAUCAAGGUGCAGACAAUCUAAAAGCUAAAGCGAGUUACAAUAAUAAAUAUUUCGGAUUACAUUUUAAAAUAUGUAUUUAAGGUGGACUUAAAAGUAAUUUUGAAUUAAAAAUAAAAUAUGAAUAUCAAUUGUAUUGUGCACAAAUCGCCCGUCACUCUGGGGGAAACUUCAGAUAAGUCGUAACAUAGUAGGUGUAGCGGAAGCUGCCCCU